rfam:Acyrthosiphon pisum strain LSR1 Contig25934, whole genome shotgun sequence.
CAACUCCGGUUCCCUUUCAAAACGAAAAAAUCUUUCGCCUUUUACUAAAGAUUUCCGUGUAGGGGAGCACUCAAAGGAGUCUAGAAAUAUAAUUUUUUCAAUCGCCUGACCUUACUGGUCGGGCU